rnacentral:rRNA from 1 species
GAUGAACGCUGGCUACAGGCUUAACACAUGCAAGUCGUGGGGAAACGGCAUUAUGUGCUUGCACAUUCUGGACGUCGACCGGCGCACGGGUGAGUAUCGCGUAUCCAACCUGCCCCUUACUUGGGGAUACCCCGUCGAAAGACGGCCUAAUACCCGAUGUGUUUCAUUGACGGCAUCCGAUAUGAAACAAAGGUUUUUCCGGUAAGGGAUGGGGAUGCGUCUGAUUAGCUUGUUGGCGGGGCAACGGCCCACCAAGGCGACGAUCAGUAGGGGUUCUGAGAGGAAGGUCCCCCACAUUGGAACUGAGACACGGUCCAAACUCCUACGGGAGGCAGCAGUGAGGAAUAUUGGUCAAUGGACGCAAGUCUGAACCAGCCAAGUAGCGUGCAGGAUGACGGCCCUAUGGGUUGUAAACUGCUUUUAUGUGGGAAUAAAGUGGCGCACGUGUGCGCCAUUGCAUGUACCUCAUGAAUAAGGACCGGCUAAUUCCGUGCCAGCAGCCGCGGUAAUACGGAAGGUCCGGGCGUUAUCCGGAUUUAUUGGGUUUAAAGGGAGUGUAGGCGGUCUGUUAAGCGUGUUGUGAAAUUUAGGUGCUCAACAUUUAACUUGCAGCGCGAACUGUCAGACUUGAGUACACGCAGCGCAGGCGGAAUUCAUGGUGUAGCGGUGAAAUGCUUAGAUAUCAUGAGGAACUCCGAUCGCGAAGGCAGCCUGCGGGAGUGUUACUGACGCUUAAGCUCGAAGGUGCGGGUAUCGAACAGG